AGCAGGAGAUCAAUGAUCUGAGGAGGAGAGACGCUGAGCUGGAGCAGCUUUCACACACACAGGAUCACAUCCAGUUCCUGCAGAGUUUCCAGUCUCUCUCAGCACCUCCUGAAUCUACAGAUGUAAAUGACGAUCCAUUCAGUUCUCUCUUCUCUUCUGAUGGCCUGAGAGAAUCUGUCCGUCAGCUGAGAGAAAAACUGGAGCAUUUCUGCAAAGAGGAGCUCAAGAAGAUCUCAGACAGAGUCACAUUCACCAACAUUGUUCCUAGGAUCAGGAACGACUUCCUACAAUAUUCCCAUCAGCUCACUCUGGAUCUGAACACAGUGAAUAAACUCCUCCGACUGUCUGAGAGCAACAGAGUGAUUACUAACACUAACACAGUCCAGUCGUAUCCUGAUCAUCCAGACAGAUUUGAUGUGUAUCAUCAGGUGUUGUGUA